UAAAGUGAGUCGGACAAGCGGACUCCUAAGCGAUAAGAGAUAUAGAAUCAUUAGCAGGAAGCGAAUGGAGAAAGGAAGCCAUGAAAUUUGGAAAAGGCUGAAGGAGGCCUUUACCCGUAAAGGGGUUCCGAUCAAUGGCCCUUAUUCAUCAGAAGCUCAUUGCGAGGGAACCUGUGAAGGCUGCAUUGAAGUGUCUCAGACCGAAAACAUCAUAAGUCUAAAUUCAAUACAUUACGAAAUCAACCUUUUGUCUUUGUAUUAUGCGCUAAUAUAACUUAAACAUGAAUGGAUUACUCAAUGUCUACUAUGUUGGGACAAAUCUUAUACUUUUCAACCAAAACGUCUAUAUUUAGCUCCUUGCCGAAAGUAGAGGGUUUGAGUUUGUCGAAGCUUUUAUUGUUUUUAAUAUUACUUAUUAUAGACUACUAAGAACCUCUUAUAUGCUUGAUUUGUGUGAAUCACACAUUAAUGAAUAUUAUAUUAGAUGUAGUAGAUAAGUAUGAUUAUAUAAAACUAUUUUCAACGCUUUGGUUCUUUUUAUAAACGUUUUAUAAGCCUAAAGUAUCUAGAAGUGUUUCGUCAUGUUUUUUAAUUACGAAUUAGGCACCAGAAGGAUCAGGUAAAAAUAUUAAAACACUAAAUGUUUAUGUUAUUGUUGUCGUUAUGAAUUUAAAAAUUUGUCAAAUUCACAUAGACGAACUCUAUAGUCUGUAGCCGUUUAGUCUAUGGUACAAUGACGUCAUUGUAGCUAAUGGUUUUGCAAGUUUGUAUUAAAGAGGCUAGGGCAAAUGCGACAUAAAUAUUAAAAUAUUUGUGAUA